GACGAACGCUGGCGGCGUGCUUAACACAUGCAAGUCGAGCGGUAAGGCCCUUUCGGGGGUACACGAGCGGCGAACGGGUGAGUAACACGUGGGUGACCUGCCCUCAGCUCUGGGAUAAGCCUGGGAAACCGGGUCUAAUACUGGAUAUGACUCCAUGACGCAUGUUGUGGGGUGGAAAGCCUUGUGCGGCUGAGGAUGGGCCCGCGGCCUAUCAGCUUGUUGGUGGGGUGANGGCCUACCAAGGCGACGACGGGUAGCCGGCCUGAGAGGCGACCGGCCACACUGGGACUGAGACACGGCCCAGACUCCUACGGGAGGCAGCAGUGGGGAAUCUUGCGCAAUGGGCGAAAGCCUGACGCAGCGACGCCGCGUGAGGGAUGACGGCCUGGUGUAACU
rnacentral:rRNA from 1 species